rnacentral:rRNA from 1 species
GAGUUUGAUCCUGGCUCAGGAUGAACGCUGGCGGCGUGCCUAACACAUGCAAGUCGAGCGGAGCAAUCUUGAUGAAGUUUUCGGAUGGAAUCAGGAUUGACUUAGCGGCGGACGGGUGAGUAACACGUGGAUAACCUGCCUUAUACUGGGGGAUAACAGCCAGAAAUGGCUGCUAAUACCGCAUAAGCGCACGGCGCCGCAUGGCGCAGUGUGAAAAACUCCGGUGGUAUAAGAUGGAUCCGCGCCUGAUUAGCUAGUUGGCGGGGCAGCGGCCCACCAAGGCGACGAUCAGUAGCCGGCCUGAGAGGGCGACCGGCCACAUUGGGACUGAGACACGGCCCAAACUCCUAUGGGAGGCAGCAGUGGGGAAUAUUGCACAAUGGGGGGAACCCUGAUGCAGCGACGCCGCGUGAGUGAAGAAGUAUUUCGGUAUGUAAAGCUCUAUCAGCAGGGAAGAAGAUGACGGUACCUGACUAAGAAGCCCCGGCUAACUACGUGCCAGCAGCCGCGGUAAUACGUAGGGGGCAAGCGUUAUCCGGAUUUACUGGGUGUAAAGGGAGCGUAGACGGCAGGGCAAGUCUGGAGUGAAAGCCCGGGGCCCAACCCCGGGACUGCUUUGGAAACUGCCAUGCUAGAGUGCUGGAGAGGUAAGCGGAAUUCCUAGUGUAGCGGUGAAAUGCGUAG